CAAAUUACACUAUUCACGUCGGUCAACGCUACUGUUCAUAGCGUUGAACGACGUGAAUAGUAACUAAACUAUUGGGCACGUCUAUUUCUAAAUGACACUAAUAAUACAGAAUUUGCGUCAUUUACUAAAGUGACGGUAAAAACAAAACUGACGAUAAUUGGCAAAAAUUGUGAAACAAUUCGCUCCCUUUUGCGUCUGUUAUAAACACUCAAAUAUUGUGUUUAUGAGGUUUAAAAAUUGAUUGUAACAUAGACAUUUGAGAGUGAAUAACCAUAUAUUCCUAUACCUUCACUUUGCAAUCAGAUUUUACUCAUCCCAUUUUGCGAUAAAGGGCUCUGGCGAUCGAAACGGUGACCCCCUCUUCAAGUUCUUCUCCUUCUUGAACUGAUUGUGACUUCGUCUUCUUCAUCCCGUCCAGGAGUAAUGGGAAGUCUUGGAGUUAGAGGGAAAGAUAACCUCUAACAGAUUGAAUUAGAGGGUUUUGAAUUGGGCCUCUUUAUCUUCCUUUGAUUUCAUCUAGAUCCCUCAUCAAUAGUGGUUUAUUCUCCAACACAACCAAAAUCUACAAAUUAGUGCUUGUGAUACUGCUUAGCGUGGUCACUCUUGUUCUCUUUGCCCAGUUCGUGACUUCGUCUUCUUCAGUGAGUUUGAGAGCUUCGAAACCCCUCUCGUACAUUUCAAAACCCCAAUCUCUUUCCUUUAAUCGAUCCAUCGACGCCUUUCUAGUAGCCUCAGAAAUCAUCAGCAGUGGGCCUUGGUGGUCUUUCUGGUGUUAUUGCUUAGGUGCAAUACAUCUCUGAUGAUUGAUUAUUGCCAAACCGAGGGUAAACAUAGCUAUAUUUUGAUUGAUGUUGGGAAAACAUUUAGGGAGCAAGUACUUCGAUGGUUCUCUCUCUAUAAGAUUCCUAGGGUGGAUUCGAUUAUUUUGACGCAUGAACAUGCUGACGCAGUUCUUGGUUUGGAUGAUAUACGUGCUAUUCAACAACAUAGUCCAACAAAUAAUAUUGAUCCCACUCCCAUUUAUUUGACUCAGUAUGCAAUGUACAGACAUCCAGGGUUAAAUUAUACAUGCAUUGAAACUGAAGUUAAAAUUCUGACAUUGAAGAAUAUAUAGAGACCGUAAAGUUGUAGCUUGUAUGUGCAUUAAUAUGUGCUACACUGCCGUUAAAAUUCUGACAUUGAAGAAUACAUAGAGACCGUAAAGCUAUGGAUAAAGGUGUUAUGCUUAACCGAAAUAAGGUGCAUAGAGCUUGUGCAGAGAGAUAAAUUCUUGACAUGUUGGAUCACCCUUUUCUUCCAGCAUUAUAUGCUUCAUUUCAGAAUAUAUAGCUCUGCUGGCCACUACAGUUUGAUGAUGUUGGAUCUAGUCGGACAAAGUUCAAGUUAGACGUUCCUUAUAGUAACAAGGAGAUCAAUGCCAUACGGGAUGAGCGGCCCGAAUUUGUGAAGCCUUUGAUUAUAGAUUAAGUACUUAAGGUUACUACUUUUGUUAUAAUACAUAAGUAACAAGUUUUAUGAUUAUUGUUAUCUUUUGCAUAUGUUAUUAGUUUAUAUUUAGUUUACGAUAUACAUAGAAUUUAAGUUUUAGAAUCAAUUUUAUUAACAAUUUUGGUGUUGUGUGAUUAGUUAAUAGAAUCAAUUACUAAUUUUAUGUAAGUUUUAAAAAUGUUAUUUUAAUUUUUUUUUUUUGUAUUA